CUGAAGGGCCUCACACUAAUAUCAUAGACUAACAUACUAACACACCAAUAUCACAGACCUCAUAUUAACAUCAUAUACUAACUUAUCAAUAUCACAGACCUCAUACUAACAUCACAUACUAACAAACUAACAUCACAGACCUCAUACUAACAUCACAUACUAACACACCAACAUCACAGAUCUCAUACUAACAUUACAUACUAAUAUACCAGUAUCACAGACCUCGUACUAACAUCACAGACCUCAUACUAACAUCACAUACUAACAAACUAACAUCACAGACUUCAUACUGACAUCACAGAUCUCAUACUAACAUCUACACAAACCUUGUAAGCCCUGCAGGAAUUCAUACUAACAUCACAUACUAACAUACUAAUAUCAUAGACCUUAUACUAAUAUCUACACAGACCUUGUAAGCCCUGCAGGGCCUGGUGAGACCUUGGCCCAAACCACAGCUCCUCUCUGAGUCAUGGUACAGUAGAGCUGGGGGUGGGAGCAGAAAGAACAUCUUCACAGUGUCUUGGUGUGCAGAGGAACCCGCUGGUUGGCUUCCGGCCAACCCUGUGAAAGGUCGUUUAACCCAGAGGUCUGGACCCACAUGAAGACUCCAAAUGGCCUGCGGUUCAGGUAACAGGGACAUGAGGACCAUUCCCACCACAGCUUUCCUCUCCCUUCGCUCUAUGAUGCCAAAAUGAGACCUGGCAACCGACAUAUGCAAACCUGAUUAGCUCCCAGGGUUGGACCAUUCCCUAGAGAGGGAGGAAGACAGGAACACAGGGAGGGUUGCAUGGUUAAUCUGAUGGCACUGGAAGCAGUACAGAGCACAUCUUGGCAGCACUUGGGAUCCUGAAGCAGGAAUGUUGUAUGAGUUCCAGAUCUACCACUCUGGGUUGCAUUCACCCCAGUCCAGCCUGUCUCAAAGAAACAAACAACAAAAACCUAUGCAACAAACACAUCUUGGAUUCCCCAAGGACUCCAUGAACACACCUCUAUGUACAAGUGCAUGUGCACCCUAUGUGCUUAUUAUAUGUUGAUAUGUAGUAGGUAUGUCACAGCUGGCAUGUACUUAUCAACAUCACAUCAUCAGAUGGGUGAUAAAGACCCGUGGUUUAUAG